rnacentral:rRNA from 1 species
AUGACCAAAACAUGGCUAGAUUUACACGAUGUCCAUCCUACGGAUUGGAGAGGCAUGGUUUCCGUCAAGGAGUGGUGGCGCAACAUAGCUUCCGGGAGGUCACAAUCUCGAAGGGCACUUCUUUCCCUUAUGCUUCUUAUCUCUUGAGAAAUUUGGAAAGAGCGAAAUGCACGUGUGUUCCGCAGCACGGCAAUUCCGGUCGGGGUGCUUGUGACUCGCGUCAAAGCGGAAGCUUCGCUGUGGUGCCUUGCCGGGGCGAAAUAUUUGUGCAAUAUAAUGCCGCGAGAGUGA